AUACGGAGGGUGCAAGCGUUAUUCGGAAUCACUGGGCGUAAAGGACGCGUAGGCGGGUUGGCAAGUCAGAUGUGAAAUCCUACAGCUUAACUGUAGAACUGCAUUUGAAACUGCUAACCUAGAGUAUGGGAGGGGGAGAUGGAAUUAGUGGUGUAGGGGUAAAAUCCGUAGAUAUCACUAGGAAUACCGAAAGCGAAGGCGAUCUCCUGGAACAUAACUGACGCUAAGGCGUGAAAUCGUGGGGAGCAAACAGGAUUAGAAACCCUAGUAGUCC
rnacentral:rRNA from 1 species